GUGGACCCUCCAGAGUCGAGUCAGGUUCCGUUGACCCUCCAGAGUCGAGUCAGGUUCCCGUUGACCCUCCAGAGUCGAGUCAGGUUCCCGUUGACACUCCAGAGUCAGGUCAAGUCACCGUUGACACUCCAGAGUCAGGUCAAGUCCCCGUUGACACUCCAGAGCCAGGUCAAGUCACCGUUGACACUCCAGAGUCAGGUCAAGUCCCCGUUGACACUCCAGAGUCAGGGCUAGUCACCGUUGACACUCCAGAGUCAGGUCAAGUCACCGUUGACACUCCAGAGUCAGGUCAAGUCCCCGUUGACACUCCAGAGUCAGGUCAAGUCCCCGUUGACACUCCAGAGUCAGGUCAAGUCACCGUUGACACUCCAGAGUCGAGUCAGGUUCCCGUUGACACUCCAGAGUCAGGUCAAGUCACCGUUGACACUCCAAAGUCGAGUCAGGUUCCCGUUGACCCUCCAGAGCCAGAUCAAGUCACCGUUGACACUCCAUAGUCAGGUCAAGUCACCGUUGACACUCCAGAGUCAGGGCUAGUCACCGUUGACACUCCAGAGUCAGGGCUAGUCACCGUUGACACUCCAGAGUCAGGUCAAGUCACCGUUGACACUCCAGAGCCAGGUCAAGUCACCGUUGACACUCCAGAGCCAGGUCAAGUCCCCGUUGACACUCCAGAGUCAGGGCUAGUCACCGUUGACACUCCAGAGUCAGGGCUAGUCACUGUUGACACUCCAGAGUCAAGUCAAGUCACCGGUGUUCUUCAUGGGCAAAGGCAAGUCACCAUUGAUAUUCAUGGACAGAGGCACCUCACCAUUGAUCUUCAUGGGCAAAGUCCAGUCACCAGUGUUCUUCAUGGGCAAAGGCAAAUCACCAUUGAUCUUCAUGAACAAAUGCAAGUCACCAAUGAACUUAAUGAGGAGAGUCAAGUCACCAAUGAUCUUCAUGAGCAGAGUCAAGUCACCAUUGAUAUUCAUGGGCAAAGGCAAGUCACCAUUUGUAUUCAUGGACAGAGGCACCUCACCAUUGAUCUUCAUGGGCAAGGGCAAGUCACCAGUGAUCUUCAUGGGCAAAGUCCAGUCACCAGUGUUCUUCAUGGGCAAAGGCAAGUCACCAUUGAUCUGCAUGAGCAGAGUCAUGUCACCAUUGAUCUUCAUGGGCAAAGGCUAGUCACCAUUGAUCUUCAUGAGCAAAUGCAAGUCACCAAUGACCUUAAUGAGCAGAGUCAGGUCACCAAUGAUCUUCCUGAAUCCAGUCUAAACACCACGGUAUUACCAGAGUCUCUCCACGUCUCUGCGGAACUACCAAUUCAAUUCAAUUAAAGUUUAUUUGUAUAGCGCUUUUUACAAUACAAAUCGUUACAAAGUAACUUUACAGAAAAUUAUGUUUCUACAAUAUUUAGUAGUAGCUAGUAGUUUGUGCACGUUUGACAGGAUUUUAGAAAAAAAAAAAAAAAAAAUAAUAAUACAAGACGUAGUCAGCUAGACGAUGAACUAUCAAUAUUAGUAAUUAAUACCAGAGCCUCUCCACGUCUCUGCGGAACUACCAGAGCUUCCCCACGUCUCUGCUGAACUACCAGAGCCUAUCCGCGUCUCUGCUGAACUACCAGAGCCUCCCAAUGUCUCUGCUGAACUACUAGAGCCUCUCUUAGUCUCGGCUGAACUACCAUAGCCUCUCCUCAUUUCUGCGGAACUUCCAG